rnacentral:rRNA from 1 species
UCCUCCUUUUUCCCUCUUUCCUCUUCCUUCCUUUUCUUCAAUUUCUCUUAUUCUUAUUUGCAAGUCCGGGGUGAAAUCCCACAGCUCAACUGUGGAACUGCCUCGGAUACUGUGAGUCUCGAGGGUGGUAGGGGUAUGCGGAACUAUCGGUGGAGCGGUGAAAUGCGUUGAUAUCGAUAGGAACUCCGGUGGCGAAGGCGGCAUACUGGACCACAUCUGACGCUGAGGCGCGAAAGCCAGGGGAGCAAACGGG